GGAGGAGCCAGAAGUCACUUGGAACCCGAGCCUGUGAAUAAGAGGCAGUCAGCACCACCAGGAAUCAUGAGAGCACCAAAGGCCUACAAAAGCCCCCAAAUCAGCAACAAAUCCUGUAUAUGAUGUCAAGAAGAAUGCUGUAAUUAAAACAAGACAGUUUUAUUAGCUGUA